rnacentral:misc_RNA from 1 species
GCGCACUGUGCAGCUGCAGCAUAUGUGUGUUGUGUUGAUACGGGGAUGUCAUGACUUAGAAAACAGGUUUUCCUGUUCCUGCGCAGUGAAUAAGCUUAUUCACCGGAUGUCAUUCCAGUUCUCGCAAAAAACAAGGGCUUUGUAGCAGAAUUUAACAAAAAAAAUGCAUGAUACCUCGAUGGACCCCAGCUCUUUCACUGACAGUCUUCAGGUUUUGAAACUCUCAGAAGGCAAGCACAGAUUCGUUAACAAGAACUACAAGAAAGUGUCUGCAAGAAUGUAUGACUACAACUGUGAUGUUAAACUAACAGUUGGAGAUAAAACCUUCAGUGCACAUCGUGACAUAUUAUCUGAAGCCAGUGAUUAUUUUUCUGCCAUGUUCAGUCAUGACAUGCAGGAGAAGCAAAUGAAAGACAUUGAACUGUUCGAGAUCAGUCCUAUAGGCUUUGCAGCCAUGCUGGAAUACUUUUACCAUGGCCAUGUGUCUCUAGACGCUGAAAAGAUUCAGGAUGUCAUUGAAGCUUCUCAGUUCUUUCAGGUUGGAUGGUUGUCAGAACUGUGCUGCUACUACCUGAUCUAUCAUCUCAGUAUAGAAAACUAUGGUUUAGUGUUGGACUUGAUGGACAGGUAUGCUCUGGACGACCUGAACCCUGAUAUAUUCGAGUAUAUAGGACAGAGUUUCAUUCCUUUAUCUGAAGAACCAAAUUUCAAAUUGAUCCAGUAUGAACUGCUUUACAAAAUACUAGCCAGUGAUCACUUCAUUGCCGCGCCUGAGGGGUAUAUCCUCAAGACGGUCUUGGAUUGGUUAGACCAUAACUCGGAUCGGUUGAAACACCUGGAGGAAAUUGUAGGCUUGAUUCGAUUUCCUUGUUUGAAUUCCCAGCAACUUGAGGAAAUCCGUGAAGAUUUGCUUGCAUACCCUGGGAUUGAGGCCUUGGUUACAGAGGCAAAGGAAUACCAGGCCAACCCAUACAGUCAGUGUCUCGUGGCAUCAGAACGGACCCGCGUCCGCGGGGCGCAGCCACUGGUCUCCAUGAUCUCAGCUGUUGAUGAUGCAGAGAGUAUACAGUUCAAAGUACCAGGUAUACCUGGUAUGUGUGAGCAGCCAUUAUCCACUAGCAGCCUCAGUUUGGUUCUGGAAUAUGCCAGUGUGACAUUUAUGGGAGACUUUGCAUUUGCCGCUGGUGGUUAUGGUCGAAGCUACUGCAGCACCAAUGUGAUGUAUCGCCUGGACCCUAGGUGGCAGGUGUGGAUUGAGUGCGCUCCAAUGCAAGAUAACCGUGUGAACUUUGCGCUGGUCAAUGAUGGCCGGUAUUUGUAUGCUAUAGGUGGUGUGGACCACACAGAACAGGACCAGGAGUUGUUACUAGACACUGUGGAAAGGUACGACCCUGAAGAGAACCAAUGGAUCAGCCUGCCAAAGCUACCUGUUCCUUGUUUUGAUAUUGCAGCUGCUGUGAAGGAUGGUUGCAUUUUUGUCAGCGGCGGCAUCUCUGACAAUCCCCUGGACUCCGUGCCAGUCAGUCACAUGUCUGUGUUUUAUCCAACCAAUAUAAGCUGGGAGAGUAAAGCCCCAAUGUUACACACUCGUCAGGGCCACAGCAUGUCUCUGUAUAACAAUAAACUGUAUGUAUUCGGAGGGUACAGUAGCGAGGAUGGCUGGAACAUGCGCGACUGCUUUAUUAAUGAAGUUUAUGAUAUUAUGACAGACCAAUGGACAGAGUUAACGCCCACUCCCGAAGAAUUUGGACAUUUCCAACGGUCAGUGACUGUGUUUGGUCAUAAACUGUAUAUUAUUGGAGGGACCUCUUCUGAAAGGUAUUUGUUCAAGUAUGACUUUGAGACUAACCAGUUUGAGGAGAAGGAGUACUGUGGCCCACAUUAUUUGAAGAUUGGAGUGCUGCCUGUGGCUGGGUUUCCUAAACUAGAGGAUGAAGGGUGAAGUAAAUGAGACAGAAUAACACUGUGCCCCUGAUUCUUGGUUUCUGACACAAAACUGGAUUUUGGUGCAAAAAAGGGGUCCCAACCGUAUUCAUAUCCUAUUGAAAUUGCAAGAAAUUUGCAUUGAAAAUCACAAGCCACAUAGAAUAAGGACAUUGUGUGACGAAUGAUGAAGAAUAAAAAGCUGCCUUCACAUAUGAUAGAUUUGGGUUCUUUAUGGAGCAAGCUAAAUAAUAUGAAUUUUAAUAAUAAUAUUUCAGGAAUCUCGAAAGGGGAGGGGUAAUAAUAAAUGGUUUCCAUGGUACGUAACAACAAUUCCCAAUGGGACCCUCCUUUUACAAGCUGGGUUAUAGGGAGAUCUGGUCAGCAAAAUGUGGGACUGUAAAUAGAAAUAAAAAGAAUCAGCAGAGCACUCUAAUUCCCAAACCACUCUAUACUGAAUCUUAAUAAGUAUUUAUUAAGCAUGCACUGUGACAAUUUGGUCUGCUUAACAUUUUUGCAAUUUUCUUUUCCAGAAAGAUCUACAUUGUUUUGUCCAUGUAUUUGGUUUCAGUACAUUUUUGUAUACUAUAUGAAUAAA